AUUGAACGCUGGCGGAAUGCUUUACACAUGCAAGUCGAACGGCAGCAUAGGUGCUUGCACCUGAUGGCGAGUGGCGAACGGGUGAGUAAUACAUCGGAACGUGCCCAGUCGUGGGGGAUAACGUAGCGAAAGUUACGCUAAUACCGCAUACGAUCUAAGGAUGAAAGCGGGGGACCGUAAGGCCUCGCGCGAUUGGAGCGGCCGAUGUCAGAUUAGGUAGUUGGGGAGGUAAAGGCUCACCAAGCCGACGAUCUGUAGCUGGUCUGAGAGGACGACCAGCCAAACUGGGACUGAGACACGGCCCAGACUCCGACGGGAGGAAGCAGUGGGGAAUUUUGGACAAUGGACGCAAGUCUGAUCCAGCCAUUCCGCGUGCAGGACGAAGGCCUUCGGGUUGUAAACUGCUUUUGUCAGGGAAGAAACAGCAGCUCUAACACAGUCUGCGAAUGACGGUACCUGAAGAAUAAGCACCGGCUAACUACGUGCCAGCAGCCGCCGUAA
rnacentral:rRNA from 1 species